rnacentral:lncRNA from 1 species
CUUCUAGAGACAUGGAUUAGGGUUGCUAGCGUGAGGUUCUUGUUGCUGUAUAAAAGAGACGUAUGACAGAUGAAAGAGUCGAUCUUUGCACGCUUGGCGUUUGAGAGAAAAUUAUUUUAUUCUGCUGCUCAUCUAAAUAUACAAGUUCAAUUGUUCCUUGUUGAGUUGGACUUGUUGUGUGUGUAAUUGUGACUCUCUUGUGUGUCGAGAGAAGAUCAUUGAAGAAAGGAGAAGAAGAUGUUCUGCCUAGACAUAGGAGUUUAUAAUAGUAAAGGGUUUACAAAGAAGUUGUAAGACUCUUCACAAAUUCAUCUAGUUGAGUUUGUUUUCUGAGCUUGUGCUAUGUUGUGGUUUUUUCCUCUAUUUUGAGGUUUUUACACAGCGUUAAAAAUCUGAUGUUCUUCUUAUUUUGUCUGUCAGUUCAUCGAGGAUUGAAACGUCUAGGGUUUUCUGUCUGUUUCAAUCUAUGCUUCACGUUUCAGUACCUUUAGUAUCAGUCUUACUACAACAAUACAAGUCAUUUUUCUCUCUUUAUUUUCUUGCUUUCUCCAAACUUUCAACCGGUAAUAUAUUCUUCACAACUACUUUACCUCGCUGCCUCAUGAGUUGUGAUCUGGACUUUAGUUGCAGUAACUGCAUAUAUUGAAUAUCAAGAUAGAAAGGACUAUAUCCACCGGCUGACGGCAUAAAAUUAUCUGGGAGUCUGAUAGUGGAAGCAGCAGUGGCGAAAUUUGCACCGUGCGAGAAAUUUAUGCCGACAGAAUCCAGAUAUGCGCUUAGAUAAGAGUGACCAAGACUCUUUGCUGAACCACAUGAUAUAUAGCCUCAUCAAUACAGUACAUAAGUGUAAAAUCAUCAAGAAAUGAGUGUGUAGAAACCAUCUCAGGCCUACCACUUUGUGUAAGAAGGUUUGAUAAUUCAAACUCAGAGAAAAAGCACUAUUUCCUUGUACAAUCAUUUAUGUUUGAAUAGCAUGUUGCCUUUGCAUAUGAUACAACUUAGCUAUAUACAUGUUAAUAUGUAUUGCAGAUAAGAAAAACAUACCGAGGAAAUCGAUAAUGAGUCUUCCAUCAGAGAAUCUUCCGGAUGGCAUACGAAAUAAGUCUCUCUAUAAGGUGUAGUUAGUGGUAGAAGAGAUGCAGCAGACAGUCCACCAGUAUCUGAAUUCGAGUCUCCGAAGUUGAAGAUGGCUGGAAACUCGCAGUCUUUCAGAGCCAAGGCAGGGAUCGCAGAACAGAGAAAUGA